UUUACGUCCCUGCCCUUUGUACACACCGCCCGUCGCUACUACCGAUUGAAUGGCUCAGUGAGGCCUUCGGACUGGCCCAGGGAGGUUGGAAACGACCGCCCAGGGCCGGAAAGUUGGUCAAACUCGGUCAUUUAGAGGAAGUAAAAGUCGUAACAAGGUUUCCGUAGGUGAACCUGCGGAAGGAUCAUUAACGCGCAAGAGGUCGAAGUUGGCCCCCGAAGCUCUUCCGUCUCCCCCCCGGGCCUCC
rnacentral:rRNA from 1 species